CAACCAAAUAAGGUUCACCCAACUCAGUGUAAUCAGAUCCAUAGUGUUUGUGAAAACCAGAUGCAAUGAGGUAAAGUUGCUAGGCUACAUAAGAUUGUGCUGCAGGGUUGGGGACUUCGUGAAAGGAAUUAUUCAGCAAUUUUCACAAGGCAAAUGCUUUUGAUUGUUUUCCUCCGCUCACAUGACGAUGCUCCUGUAUAGUAAGAAAAGUUGGGACUAUGCAUUCACGGUUUAGGUCCUAUCAAUCCCAUCAUCGCUGUCCUCUGAGAGAACCUGAAUAUGUUGUGACAAUACAUGGCAUGACAGACUAGAGGUAAAGGAUGAUGCAAUGUGUGGUUACCUGCUUUGGACCUGACCGGUGGCAGAGGCGGAGCUGCAGGCGGCUUAUGACCGGAGGCAGAGUAGGCGGCGGCUUAGUGACCGGUGGCAGAGGAGGCGGCAGUGGCUUAGUGACCGGAGGCAGAGUAGGCGGCGGCUUAGUGACCGGUGGCAGAGGAGGCGGCAGUGGCUUAGUGACCGGAGGAAGAGUAGGCGGCGGCUUAGUUACCGGUGGCAGAGGAGGUGGCAGUGGCUUAGUGACCGGAGGCAGAGAGGCGGGGUCUUAGUGACCGGAGCAGGGGUAGGCGGAGCCUUCACAGGAACUUUAGCCGGAGCUGGCGCAUUCGCCGGAGCUGGUGUUGGGACCUUGGCAUAUGGAGCCUA